GCGGCGACGGGGUAUUGGCGCGGUUCAAUUCGAGAGCCUGCGCCCCUCCGGAGGCAGGGGGGCUCUGCUCUCUGAUUGAGCCGUGCCAAUAUCACGUCGCCUUCG
rnacentral:pre_miRNA from 2 species